rnacentral:lncRNA from 1 species
CAAACACCUGACUAUCAUCUGAUGAUCACCUGACAUUCCUGGCAGGGGGCCUCUCCUGCCCUGUUCUUGUCUGCCCAGCUACUACUCUAGCACUAGCAUGCUGUCCUCAUCUGCAUGGUUGAACCUGAGUCACUGCCACAGUGUGUGACUGUCACAUCAUGUGUUCUGGCCAACAGGAAAGGGAAAGAGAACAUGAAGGAGGCCAACCCCGGAAGACACACUGUGCUAUUCCCGUUGCCUAGAACACCUUUCCUGACCUGAAGGGUCACCCCCAAACCAGCCUUCAAGAGCUUCUUUUGACCAUUGCAUCCUCAACAGGGUAAGGAGGAACAAAGAGAGGAAGGAAAAGCUACAACUCUGGAACAUCUGCUGUCAAAAUUUUGGAGGAAGCUGCAAAUCUCUUUGAGGCUCCAUCUGGGACACUGAGCCCCACCCAUAUGCACCACCUUGAAGCUUCCUUUCUCUGGUUUGCUGGGGACUUUGUACGGAGAGGCUCCAUCUGGGCAUAGCAUUACACCUUUAGAGGCUGCUGGGGGCACAGGGACGAUUUCCAACAGAAACCAAGUAUAUUUGAAAGACACCAAGUCAAGCUUUUGUUUCCUUCCUACAACCUCAGCUUCUGUUGAAGUGGAAACUAGACUGGAAAUAAAGGCCACGCUGA